rnacentral:sRNA from 1 species
GGGAGACGGGCACGGGGCUUCUGAUGGUGACGCGCUUGCUGGAGAGUGUGGGGUGACACAGCCGGGCUCUCCCUAUAACUGGUGACCGGGGGUGCUCCAGAGGUAUUGGGUCAACGCAGCCUGUGCCUGUGAACCUCGGCGGUGCGUCCCUGGGACUCUGCUCUGUGAGGUAUGGCAGGGGUUUUCUAAUGUUGCUCUUAUUUCAGAAAGACAGAAUGUCUUACCCUUCUGGUUCUGUUUUCCCCAGGCCAGCAUCCUUCAGAAAAAGCAUCCCCGAGGAGGAAGACGAAUCGUUAAACAUCUUAAAGGGUCAGGUGAGUAUCCUUUUUUUUUAUAUUAAAUGAUAUAUGUUUAUAAGACUUAAGACCAAACAUUAAAGGUAGAUGAC